rnacentral:rRNA from 1 species
CGAAGGUAGCAUAAUCAGUAGUCUUUUAAUUGAAGGCUUGUAUGAAUGAUUGGACGAAAUAUUAACUGUUUCAUUUAAAAUUUUUAUAGAACUUUAUUUUUUAGUUAAAAAGCUAAAAUUUUAUUAAAAGACGAGAAGACCCUAUAAAGCUUGAUAUUUAUAAUUAUUUUAAUUAUAAAGAUUAUUUUAAUUAUGAUAAAUUAUAAAUAUUUUAUUGGGGUGAUAUUAAAAUUUAAAAAACUUUUAAUUAUUAUAACAUUGAUUUAUGAAUAAUUGAUCCAUUAAUAGUGAUUAAAAAUUUAAGUUACUUUAGGGAUAACAGCGUAAUUUUUUUGGAGAGUUCAUAUCGAUAAAAAAGAUUGCGACCUCGAUGUUGGAUUAA